AUACGUAGGUGACAAGCGUUAUCCGGAUUUACUGGGCGUAAAGGGCGUGUAGGCGGUCUUGCAAGUCAGAAGUGAAAUUCCUGAGCUCAACUCGGGCGCUGCUUCUGAAACUGCAGGACUUGAGUGCUGGAGGGGAUAGCGGAAUUCCUAGUGGAGCGGUAAAAUGCGCAGAUAUUAGGAAGAACACCGGUGGCGAAGGCGGCUAUCUGGACAGUAACUGACGCUGAGGCGCGAAAGCGUGGGGAGCAAACAGGAUUAGAUACCCUGGUAGUCCACGCUGUAAACGAUGAAUGCUAGGUGUAGGGGGUAUCGACUCCCUCUGUGCCGCAGUUAACACAAUAAGUAUUCCGCCUGGGGAGUACGGCCGCAAGGUUGAAACUCAAAUGAAUUGGCGGGG
rnacentral:rRNA from 1 species